AAGUCGUAACAAGGUUUCCGUAGGUGAACCUGCGGAAGGAUCAUUAACUCAACAAUGAUUUACCAGGGAUUGCUGAUUUCAUGGGGCUGCAGGAGCACGUUCAAGUUCACAGGGUUGUUUAACGUUGAUACGUGUUGACCAGCUUUUGAGUCAGGGACCUCUGCCGAAACGGCUGUUCAGUACCGAGCGCAGUGUAAGCGACCUGGCAUCCCUAAGCGAUCAGUGUCUGAAAGUGUCAUUGAUUGUGUAAGGAUGGCGCAGUAAACGAUUGCUAGAGGCCCACACGGCCGGCAACCGGGUCCCAGGGCUCACGCCCCUUUAUCACCCCACAGUUUCCGACUGGGCAGCCGAUAAUACGGACGCCGUAAAAAACUGAACAACUGUUAACAAUGGAUAUCUUGGUUCUC
rnacentral:misc_RNA from 1 species